rnacentral:rRNA from 1 species
CCUACGGGGGGCUGCAGUGGGGAAUAUUGGACAAUGGGGGCAACCCUGAUCCAGCCAUGCCGCGUGUGUGAAGAAGGCCCUCGGGUUGUAAAGCACUUUCAGUGAGGAAGAACGCCUGGUGGUUAAUACCCAUCAGGAAAGACAUCACUCACAGAAGAAGCACCGGCUAACUCCGUGCCAGCAGCCGCGGUAAUACGGAGGGUGCGAGCGUUAUUCGGAAUUACUGGGCGUAAAGCGCGCGUAGGUGGCUUGAUAAGCCGGUUGUGAAAGCCCCGGGCUCAACCUGGGAACGGCAUCCGGAACUGUCAAGCUAGAGUGCAGGAGAGGAAGGUAGAAUUCCCGGUGUAGCGGUGAAAUGCGUAGAGAUCGGGAGGAAUACCAGUGGCGAAGGCGGCCUUCUGGACUGACACUGACACUGAGGUGCGAAAGCGUGGGUAGCAAACAGGAUUAGAUACCCUAGUAGUC